rnacentral:rRNA from 1 species
CACGGAGGGGGCGAGCGUUGUCCGGAUUCAUUGGGCGUAAAGGGCGCGCAGGCGGCUCGGAAAGUCGGGUGUGAAAACUCGGGGCUCAACCCCGGGCGUGCAUCCGAUACUGCCGGGCUUGAGGCAGGUAGGGGAGAUCGGAAUUCCUGGUGUAGCGGUGAAAUGCGCAGAUAUCAGGAGGAACACCGGUGGCGAAGGCGGAUCUCUGGGCCUGUCCUGACGCUGAGGCGCGAAAGCUAGGGGAGCAAACGGG